rnacentral:rRNA from 1 species
AAUUGGAGGGCAAGUCUGGUGCCAGCAGCCGCGGUAAUUCCAGCUCCAAUAGCGUAUAUUAAAGUUGUUGCAGUUAAAAAGCUCGUAGUUGAAUUUCGGGAUUGACGUGACGGUCGUGCCUUACGGGGUAUGAACUGUCGCCGUUGAUUUCUCACCUUCUGGAGAAGCUCGAUGUCCUUAAUUGGGUGUCUUGCGGAACCAGGACCUUUACCUUGAAAAAAUUAGAGUGUUUAAAGCAGGCAUUUUGCUCGAAUACAUUAGCAUGGAAUAAUAGAAUAGGACGGCAUGGUUCUAUUUUGUUGGUUUCUAGGAUCACCGUAAUGAUUAAUAGGGAUAGUUGGGGGCAUUAGUAUUCAAUUGUCAGAGGUGAAAUUCUUGGAUUUAUUGAAGACUAACUACUGCGAAAGCAUUUGCCAAGGAUGUUUUCAUUAAUCAAGAACGAAAGUUAGGGGAUCGAAGACGAUCGGAUACCGUCGUAGUCUUAACCAUAAACUAUGCCGACUAGGAAUCAGACGAUGUUAAUUUUUUAAUGACUCGUUUGGCACCUUACGGGAAACCAAAGUGU